CUUGUAUUCCAAUGAAAGAUUUUCAGCUGAAACUCCUUUUUACACCCCAAUUUGAUAGGAAAAAAAUGAGGCUUUCCUUAUCACGAUUGUACAGUAUGAAACAAAUUGCUUCACAUUAUGAUUCCCUCCACUUUAAAUUGUCCCAUUGUUUAGACUGGAGAUGGCUGACAGUUUCUUCAUUUAUCUUUCGUAGUCUAACACUGCAGUGGAAAUAUUCAAGGCAUUAGGCUGGUGCUGAUUUGUCAGCCUUGACCUUCUGCCACAUUAGCUCAUUGCAAACCUGACACUCUUCAUUUCGCAGCUGUAGAUUCUUUUCUGAGCUCUCUGAGUCAAGAUUAGCCACCACUGUUUAUGUGAACGAUAUAUGGGCAUGUAUCAAAAGCUGACAUACAAUGUUCUUUUUCACACCGGAACCUUUAUUCACCAACUUGUGUUCUACAACAGAAAUACAUCUUAUCGUUCCCAGCUCAUAACUAAAUUUAAUUGCUAUUUGUUUAAUCUCUGAUAUAUGUUACAGACUUUGCCUGCCUUAAUAAGAGCUGUUACACAACAGACCAGCCUAUACUUGAAAGGAGCAGUGAGUUCAUACUAUCCAGUGAUCAGAAUUAGCCUGUGUGGGGUAUGAUGGUGGUUUCCUCUAAAAAAUGAGGUUGGUCAGCUUUAGAUUCAGACAUGGUUUUAGGAGAGAUUUGCAAUUGUUGGAGCUGAGGUCUUAUUAAUCAGGCUUGCAAAUCUGAAGCUAACACUAGGGUGUAAGCACUUCUGUGAGUGCUGGAAAUUUAUCUGAUAUUCAAUUUAAAUUCAGUAAAUCUAAGCGCUUGUGCUAGAAAAGAAAGUUUUAGGUGGUUUGUGCAAAACCAAAGUGUUUUGGAAUCAGCUGAGGACUAGACUUCUGUAAGCAAAGGUCAUGAGCUGAACUAGAACUUUCCCACAAAGUUUUUCCCCUUGUUUUUGAAUGUCUUUUCCAAUCUAGAUGAUGUUAUGAUUCUAUGAUUUCAGCAGCAUUACCUAAUACUCAAGUUAAAGUUGUUGGUUUUACUUUCAUUGAGUGACAGUGACAAUAUUAUUUGAUUCAUAUUGUAUGGAGCAGAAGUAAAAAUAUACGAUCAUUUAGUAAAAGUUACUUUUGGAAUUAGUGUGUAUAACUGAUUGUGAGCCAGGAAUAACUUUUAGAGUGGAGCCAGGAUCUCCUGCUUGACAGCUGGGCUGAGUGAUGAGUAUAAAGGGUUACAGCCUUUUCUAAUUGAGGCUCCUACAUACGAACAGGGAGUGAACAUGUUUGGUCUGUUCAUGCUAUUCUUAGGCACUGCUGGUUGCCAUCUAGAGACCCACCAGCAUUGUGAUAUCUUGUUUAGAUAACAUCUUUUGUGGAAAAUUAAAAAAAAAGAAGGUUACUAGGAUGAUCAGGAAAGAUUUGGGUGAGUUGGGAAAUGAUUGCAGUCUACAGAAGCCUAAAAUCCUAUUGACUUUCAGAUGCCAGAAAGGCCUGCUCAUGUCUGCAAGAUGAGUUUCUCAUGGCUCUGUGAUGAUAAUGUGUUGAUCCUUAUCCAGCAUGAGCUAUCUACAUCAUCUUCUUUGACUGCUAAGCUCUCAGAGCAAACACUGCUGCUGAGGAACAAAAGUAAGGUUUUCAGACUCGUUUUGGGAAGAAUCUUUCUCAUCUACCACUGCAAGCUGUAGAGGAAAUUGAGUUCAUCAACAAGUGUCUCCAUCCUGCUCUGGAGCAGAAGAAAACCGUGAUUACCUGACAGCCAUUAGUUUACCUGUAGUGGGAGGCACCAUCAAUUUCCAUCAAUUUUACUGCUGCAAAAAUAAUGUGCUGCUGUAGUUCUUCCAAAGGUCAAUUUCUGCAUGAGGUAUAUCGACUGCAGGGAUGUAAACUGUAAAUAAACAGCUGCAUAAUUUAUCUUCUUUGAUAUUACUUGAUUCAUCAUGAGCUUUAAGUUGAUCAGCAAAGAAAAUGGAAUCACUGCCUUGAAAUUUCAUGGUGCAUCAGAUAACUUAGAAAUGAUAGGGACUUUGGUUAUAUAAAUGUUGCUAUAUAGAAUGUCAGGCAACAGCCAAUAUUAGCAUUGCAGAGCCAAUAUUACACAGCAAAUGUAUCUGUCAACCUCUCUGUGUGCUUUUACUAGUUUUGAAAAUCCCAGAAUGGAUCGAGUUGUCUGAAGCACUGGCAGGUUCUCAUUGCAAUGUGUGCCGUGCAGUGAGGGAUAUCUGGUAUUACCCCAAAACUGUGACCAUCUGAAACUUUAGUUCCUUGCACCUAUGGAAGAACAAUGGGGCUAUUAUGACUUGUCCUUUGUUGUUUUUUGUUUUAUUUGGUUGGUUGGUUGGUUUUUAAAGGGGACAGUGCAUGAUACAGGGAAAUUUGGAGCAUGCAGAUAGUUUCGUGCAGAACAAGUUUUCAGAAUUAGUAAUGCUUGUGUUAUUUCAGUACAGUGUCAAGGACCAAGCGUACUCAGAGGAGAUUCUGUGCCCCAAGGACUUUCUUCUCAAGAACACGGAGAUGAUUCCCAAAUGAUAAUUUUCCCAGCUAGGGGCUGUUCAGGCUGUCUUUAUUCCAUAGCUCUGUGAUAGAUAGGCCUUGAGAAAUUGCUGCACUUUUCUCUUGGGAGCACACUCGAGUUUUCAAGCCUGGGUGUGGCAAUUUCUGUUUAGACUUCACAAUUGGCCACUGGAGAACAUAGAGUCCAUGGCAGAUAUCUUAGUGCAGACUCUAAAGUCUGUCUUUUGUCUAAUGGGACAGAAUUCUGAAGAGUGGUCUGUCCCCUUGGUUAAAGCAAGAAAGGCAGCGUUAAGUUUCUUAACCUCAUAACACUCCCUCUCAGACUACUUCAGUCACAGCUUAUUUGCAUCACCUGGAAGAGGCAGUGGUACACACUACAGCCACAAAGAAAAUAAUUUUCUCCCUAUUAUCUGUCUUUAACAAAGCAGGAAAAUCCCAAUAUGCUGGAAAAGGCAUCUGCUGGGUAACUUAUGUUAGUGCAAAGGAGUCAUCGAGCCAGCAUUGCUGGGUCAGUACAUUUGUGUAACAUGUCAUCUGUACUGGUGUAAGACACUAUUAGAAUUGUGUUGCUUUGAUGACAUAUUACUUGAUGAAAUAAGAUCAGCUGUCAAAAACCCAUUCCAGUGUCUGAGGCACUCAAUGUUUUGUUGGGGGAAAAGGUUCGUUUCAUUCCUGAAAAAAAUGCAUUAUUCAGUAUGGAGAACUGAAGGGCAGUCAGGCUGAAGCUGAGAGGCUUCAUGAAGGCAGACAAGUCCCCUUGAAAUUCCACUGCUUAGCCAGGGUGGUAGGGCCCAGGGCAUGGGGAGCAGUCUCUGUCCCUGGAGGUGCUCCAGAACUGAUGUGGCACUGAGGGACAUGGUCAGUGGGCAUGGUGGGGAUGGGUUGGGGUUGGACUUGAGGAUCUCAGUGGUCUUUGCCAACCUUAACGAUUCCAUGAUUCUGUGAUCUCCUGCAGCUCAUCAAUAGACCUGAAAUAGCUGAAAUAAUGCACACAUUUAUGCCUAUUUGGGGAUAAAUGUCACCACAGACCUAACACCUUCACAGCGUCCCAUCCAGCAGCAGAUGCUGAGCAGCAUAAUGCAGAACAGAAUCUCCCUUUUCCUGCCCCACCAGAAGGGAAUGUCUGGGAUAAUGCCUUGCAAAUCUCGCCAUGAAAACAUGCCAUUAUUCCCCGUGUAUGAUUAGUCUUUCAUGCUUCCCUUGUUACAAAUACGUAACACAUGCUACGGCACAGAAUGUGAUAAUGUAUUCUAAUGCGAUCUUUAAUGCUGAUAUUUAAAAACCUGUUCCUGAGUAGCACAAUUUGAGUUUCACACGAAUGUACCGCUACCAUUUUUUCCUGUUUUAAAGCACAAAGUCUUUCCGGCAAAAGGUAGGCAUUAUGUCAAUCCGCUUUUGCUCCUUUCUUCCUUCAGUUAUGUGCAGUUAAACGUUUUCUUCAUCUUCUAGGGGAAAAAUGAAUGAAUUAUUCUAGAACAAUGCACACCGCAGUGUGUGUGUGUGUGUAUUGGUGAGUCAAAACGCAAACAUUGAGAGAAGACAUUCUCAUUUGUUUCCAUCCCAGUUUUAAGUGAUAUUUUAGGAAGCAAUCAUAAUAAAGAGAGCUGAAGGAGCUGAAGGAAUUAUUUCUCAGUUAGACAGCAGCCUGCUGUUAUCUCUAAUCUAAGAGGCACUGGAUAGAGGUCAUCGUUUGAUCAAUGAGGUGAAUUUCAUUUUAUGGUGCUGAAAACAGACAGAGAAUGGUACAAUCGAGUGCUUUCAAAAAGAAAACAGAAGCAGUAAGAGAGUGAUGGAAGAACCGUAACAAAAAUAAACAGGUUUAUUGCUAUAUUAAGCCUGUUUUACAAGGACUCCAUAGUGCAGAAAGAGGAUGUCACCCAACUGUAGCCCCCCAGAUAGACAGGAUUUAUAAACACGUUGACUGUCUUGUGGACAAAUGGGGUUAAUGCGGUACACUGCUACAUUCAAAGAUUAUCUCCCAUAAAGGAUAAGCAAUUGAGUUUUCACACUGAAGCAGUAAUGCAGUGUGACUUUCAGGAGUCCCCACGCAGAGGUGCUGGCAGCAUUGGCACUUCCUUGCUGUCCGAAGUGCAGUGUGUUCCUCCGCAGUGGUUUAUCUCCAUGGAGCUUUUUGCCAUCUCCAGCUUUUGCAGGUGCUCAGGGUGCAAUGCAGACUGGCCAGGUUUUACUUGCAGCACUGUCUGAAAUGGAUUGAGAAGCCUGAGUUAAUCGUUUCCUAUUGAGGUUUUAUAGCUCAUUCGGAGUAUUGAGCACAGGCAUGUUGUCAUGGUAAUUGAGCAAUUAUUUCAUGUAUAAAUCUAGACCAUAUCAUAGAUGAACCUUAAACCAGCAUCUGCUCUUCCAUUCAAGAGCAGUAAAAGGGGCAGUGCAUUCCUCGUGCUUUUGAUGUCCUGCUUACAAGUGGCUGUCUGGGAAGAAGUUAAAAAUACUUCCUCACAAAAUACUGAAUUUCACAAUAAAAACAAUUGAUUACAUCCAUUGGAAUGAUCCAUCGUGGAGCAUCAUGGAGAAAGAUAACUUUUGGCAGAGGAAGCGAGGCAACCAAUAUUGAUAAAAGCAAGUAGAUGAGCAGGAGGAAAAGAUUGCUCAUAUAUAGAGAAGGAUAAAUGGAUUUGAUAAACGUAUGUACCAGAAAAAUGGACAACCAUGUAUCUGUCAUGGUAUCAGGAAAUGCUAUGAUUCUGAGUGCCUGACUACUACUGGUGUCUCGGUUGUAAAAGGAAGUCAGACUGGAGGAGUUCCUUGGUUAAGGUGGUAAGAGGGAGAUUUUUUUUCCAGAGGAAAACCUUACAUUGUAUCUGAGCAAUCAAUGGGAAGCUAAAGAGCACCUGCUGUCAGCACAGAUUAAUCUGGAAUUCCUUCACCUCUUCAGAUCCUUGUGCAUCAAACAUUAGUUUGCAUCAAAAGUUGGAACAGUGACUCAAAGAUCUCAGGAGUUCACAAAACUACAAGAGCAAAUCAAGGAAAAUGCCUCCCAUUUCUAUGGCCUGCAGACUUCAAAACCUGUAAUUGUGCUGGAAGUCUUUGAUCUCACCAUUACUCCUCUGUCGACUUUGAAGUCAAAAGGAUAGGGUUAUUGCAGUGGGAUCCUGAUGUGUCAAGUGUUAAUUCCCCGCAGCCACAUUCAAGGCACACCGUAUUAGCUACUGACCACUAAGUGCUAAAGGGUGUAACCACAUGUAGAGUUUUCCUCCUGCUCAGGGUUUCACACAUCAGUAGUUUCAGUGCACAGUUUGUUACUAACAGAGAGGUCACUGCAGACCACUGAUGCAUAGGACCUCAGGAAUGUGUUUUCUGGGACAAACGGGCAAUUAUGUAUUUUUAAUAAUCAAUUCUUACAGCUGAGCAAGAGUUAAAACGAUGUCAAAAACUAACCUGAAUAGUAGCAAAUGUUAUUUUUGGAACCUAGGAGGGAGCCCAGGGAAGAGGAGGGAUGAGCAGAGGCUGGCACAUGGGGAGCUGUGCCUGCUGACCCCUGGCACGGGACCUAACUGCUGCAGAGCCCCAUCGCUCCACAGCAUCGCUCCUAACUUUUGUCAUGCUGCAAUGAAGCAUCCCUGGAGUUCUGCAAUGGUUCCUAUGUGGCCGGAGUGGCUUUCUUAUUUCAACCUCUUGAGCAUCGAUUGUUGAGUCGCUUCCUCAUCAUUAAAAGCUCGUCAGGGACAAGCUCUGGAGUUCAGAAGCUCUGUGCAGUCACCACGGCCUUCGGAUGCCCCAAGGGCACCAGCAGAGAGGAACGAGUGUGGCGAGAGCGCAGGCAGCUGUGAGCACACUGCAAUGUCAUUGCUGAUAUCUUUUCUGUAUUUUUAAAUACCGGCACAACAAAUGCCAGCACUGAACCAGAGGGAAAACUGAUGGCAUUCGGGGAUCACUGAAUGGAGGACUGGGCAUUCAGAGCUUCAUACUGCCCAGCAGUGAGAAGCAGACAUACGCUUUGCUGAUCUCAUGUACUCCUCCACCAUAAAAAGCUGCUCGCAGUUACAGUGAUGUUUCUAGAAGGUGAGUAUAUGUAUGUCAGGAGAAAAAAUAACACUUGCAUUGAAGGAUGAUUUAAGAUUAUUCUUCCACACUUCUGUAUAAGAUUGGAUCUAUUGUAACCUUCCUAAACCUUUGUUACCUUUGUAAUUUAAACUGACAGGUUAAAUGCUAAUGCAAUUGAUAGGGGUGAACAACUGGUCAAGGAACAACCUGAUCUGACUGUAUAAUGCAUCGGAGAAUUGCAAAAAUAUGCAGGUCAGAUGUAAUUUUGACAGAAAAUGGCUCGCUGCAAGGGUUUAUGUUUCCCUGGAUAGUCUUAAAAAGAGUUGGACUCUAGUAAGUACCACAUUGCUUGAAAAAAAUACAAAGUUAAACUUAAUGGAAAAAAUCCAAGUUCUCAAUAUCCUCAGAUUUCAUUAUCAGUUUUUAUUGGAGCCAGGGUAAUAAGAUUAUAGAAUUAAAAGAAAAGUUAUACCCAUUUUCUUCAGCCCAGCACUUCUAAUGUGCAAAAAGAAAGCGGCACUCAUUUCUCACCAUAAAUACACACUGAAAACUACCUGUAAAAAGAAGCGGUCUCUGACCGUGUACAGCCUGAUUUGGUCCUUAUUGAAGCAGAAAUUCUGUUACUUCAACAGGCGCUGGGUCACAGCAAUUACUGGUAACAGUAGAUAAAAAGGCAUUGUCUCAUGCAUUAAUCCUGAGUUAACGGUUUUCCACUUGGCACAGCAAUAAAUGGUUGGUGAGUGAGCCCAGGGUGUGAAUCUGGGUGUUCCUAUAUUAAUCGGGUGCCCAGAGCAGCUGCCUGCAGAAGCAGCUUUAUUCCAGCUGACCUUCAGUUCCCUUUCUAGUGGAUCUUUUAUAACACUUACUACAUUUCCAAGUCUUUCACAGAUACCACACUUACAAAAAUUUAAAGUAUCAACUACUAUUUGGGUAGGACCUCCAUCGUAUUUCUACAGCAACAGUCAUCUAAACUCAUAACCUACACACCACCUCUCUACCCAGGGCCAGUAACUCUAC
ensembl:lncRNA